AGAAGGAGAGGGAGAAGCAGGGAGCCAAUGUGGGACUCGAUCCUAGGACCCUGGGAUCAUGACCUCAGCCAAAGGCAUAGGCUUAACCCAAUUGAGCCACCCAGACAUCCUGAGGGUACUGUUUUUAAUACCAGUAGAGUAUAUAGUCACAGAGAAAAACUCAACAUUUUAUUCAAUUUCAAUACAAAUUUGUUGCAUACCAAUGGGAUAAAAAAUAAGAAAAAAAGAUAGGGAUGCCUGGGUGGCUCAGCAGUUGAGCAUCUGCCUUUGACUCAGGUCGUGAUCCCGGGUCUGGGGAUCAAGUCCCGCGUCAAGCUCCCUGCAGGGAGCCUGCUUCUCCCUCUACCUCUGUCUCUGCCUCUCUGUGUGUGUCUCUCAUGAAUAAAUAAAAUCUUAAAAAAAAAAAAAAAAGACUACGGGGGCACUAUAAACUUAUUUAUGAAUGGAUGUUUAUCUAUCUAUUUUACCAUGCUUCCUACCAUGAGGACUAACGUUUAUUAUAUUAGAUCCUCUUUGCUUCUUCUAUCUUUAGAAUAUAUUGUUGCAUAUUGGAACUCUAUUUCCAAGUGACAGAAAGCUAACUAAAAAUAUCUUAAGCAAUAAAAGGGUAUUUAUUGGUUCAUUUAACUGGUAAGGACAGAGUACAGCUAGGUGCAGGGUCAACUAAAUCCAGGGAUUCUGGGUCAUCCUAAUUGUUUUUCAUCUCUCUUUUUCCUUUUCUGGCCUUAUUCUCUCCUGCUAUGGAGAGCCUUCCUCUGUACAACAGGAGCCAAGGCCAAGGCAGCUCCAGACUUAACAUCAGCCCACUUUAGUAUCUCGGAGGAAACAAGUAUAUCAGUAUAUACAAUUCCAGAGAAGGGUUUUGGUUGAUCUGGUCGGGAUUUCAUGUUCAGUCCUUGGACUCAGAGAUUGUGAAAAUUUUUGGCCAAGUAAUGUGAGUAUGGAGUUUAAGCUUACAGAAUCAGGACACUUAAAAGCUCAGCUUCACCAUACUUCAGUGUUCCCUACUCCUGUACAAUCAAAUUCUUGCAAAAAGGAAAGAUGUGUGUCCAGCCUGGAAAAUAGCUUUCUUAAACUGAAUUCUGUUAAUGACCGUGUAUGUUAGGCUUUUGCUGAUAAUUAUAAUUAAAUUUUAACCACUCACUAAAAUGGCCCUAAGAACAUCUACUUGGCCACA